UUAAAGGCAGGAUGGUGUUGGAUAGCAAAUACACCAGUAUCGAACUGAGCACCGAACAACACUAGGUUGACUCUGCCCAUCAUGGAAAGAGCAUCCAUCUACCGGCCCUCAAGCCUAUGCCUAAUGCUCUGCUCCAUGGAGGAACAAUCUCUGCUGCGAAUACGCUGGCCAGUGAUAGGCACAUCCAAAUAUCUUAGAACACCGUCCUGCUUAUCCAGCCUCAGAAUCUCCUUGAUAUAGGAGAAGUUGAGAAAAUUGGAGGGCUUUUAUUUAGGUUUUAUGAUACAAGAGAGGUUGAGAAAAUUGGGGUACUUUAUUUUGAUUCUCUUCUUUGGAAGCACUAUAGUUUUAAUGCUCCAAUUUUUAUUAUUCAAGACAUUAUUAAACACCUCUACAAUGUUGGUGUAGCGAUGGAUGCAAUUUUUAUUAUUAAACACCUCUAUAACGAAGUCGUUGUGGUUGGACAAUCUGCAGGCAUAGUGAUGGAGGCUGUAGGAUUUAGGAAUCGAACAACUUAUAGUCUUAUUAUACCCAUCAACAUGAGUUGCUUGGUCACAAGUAGGGUGAGGUCUAGGUUUGGGUAAAUCUAGACCUAACCCUAGAUCUAGGUCUUUUUCCAUACCCUGCACAAGGAUCAGGUUGGGUUCGGGUCUGGAGAAAAUAACAUCAUUUCACAUUAGAGUUUUCAAGUCGAGUUCGGCGGCAUUCACACUUUGAGCUGGGAUUCUCGCUCGCAUUUUUUGCUAUGGUGGGCCCUCCUCAAUCACGGUUGUCGUCGCAUACAGGGACGGCUGUGAUUAGUAAAUAGGCCCUCUCUAGUCAAUCAACCAAAUGGAGAGGAUCUGAAUUUUGACACUUUAAUAAAAAUUUAUUCAUAAAACGUCCAAUUAUAUGCUGCAAAAAUUAAAUCCUAAGAAGCACUUGGUAGUUGAUUAUACGACGGACAUUGGCAAAAAAAAUUUAAAUACACUUAAUCCAAAGUUAAGUACAAACACCAUAACAUGUUUAAUGUGAUUAGUUUUAUCAUUUAUACUUUAUUAAGUUACAGUAUUAAGUUUCAUAUGUUAAGAAUUUAGAAAUAGAAAGAUAUGUAAAUAAAACUAGAAUUAUAUAUAUAAAUUAAUCCAGUAAUUAGCUGGAACCAGAUUAGGUUAGGUCUAAAAAUCUCAAAACUAGAUCUCACCCUAAUUUUCAAUGAAUUCGGCUUCAGAUCCAUACCACCCCAUUUAGGAGUGGUCAAUGUUGCGUUCAUAUCAAGGUUGGGUCAAGGCUGUGUCAGAAAUCAAGUUUGCAUGUUGGAGUAAGUGACCAGUACCCUAG
rnacentral:lncRNA from 1 species